AGUGAACGCUGGCGGUAGGCCUAACACAUGCAAGUCAAACGGCAGCACAGGAGAGCUUGCUCUCUGGGUGGCGAGUGGCGGACGGGUGAGGAAUACAUCGGAAUCUACUCUGUCGUGGGGGAUAACGUAGGGAAACUUACGCUAAUACCGCAUACGACCUACGGGUGAAAGCAGGGGAUCUUCGGACCUUGCGCGAUUGAAUGAGCCGAUGUCGGAUUAGCUAGUUGGCGGGGUAAAGGCCCACCAAGGCGACGAUCCGUAGCGGGUCUGGGAGGAUGAUCAGCCACAAUGGAACUGAGACACGGUCCAGACUCCUACGGGAGGCAGCAGUGGGGAAUAUUGGACAAUGGGCGCAAGCCUGAUCCAGCCAUACCGCGUGGGUGAAGAAGGCCUUCGGGUUGUAAAGCCCUUUUGUUGGGAAAGAAAUCCAGCUGGCUAAUACCCGGUUGGGAUGACGGUACCCAAAGAAUAAGCACCGGCUAACUUCGUGCCAGCAGCCGCGGUAA
rnacentral:rRNA from 1 species